CUUGAUUUGAUUCUCAGCUUGGUCACUGUUGGUGCAUAGCAGAGCUACUGAUUUGUGUACAUUAAUUUUGUAUCCUGAAACUUUGCUGAAUUCAUUUAUCAGUUCCUGGAGUGUUUUGGAGAAGUCUUUAUGGUUUCUAUGUAUACAAUCAUAUCAUCAGCAAACAGUUACAGUUUGACUACCUCUUUACCGAUUUGGAGGCCCUUUAUUUCUUUCUCUUGUCUGAUUGCUCUGGCUAGGACUUCCAGUACUAUGUUGAACAUAAGUGGUGAGAGUGGGCAUACUUUUCUUGUUCCAUUUCUCAGAGGAAAUGCUUUCAACUUUUCCCUGUUCAGUAUUAUGUUGGCUGUGUGUUUGCCAUAGAUGGCUUUUAUUACAUUGAGGUAUGUCCUUUGUAUGCCGAUUUUGCUGAGAGUUUUAAUCAUGAAGGGAUGCUGGCUUUUGUCAGAUGCUUUUUCUGCAUCUAUUGAGAUAAUCAUGUGAUUUUUGUUUUUAAUUCUGUUUAUGGGGUGUAUCGCAUUUAUUGACUUGUGUAUGUUUAACCAUCCCUGCAUCCCCUGUAUGAAACUUACUUUAUCAUGAUGGAUUAUGUUUUUAAUAUGCUGUUGGAUUCCAUUAGCUAGUGUUUUGUUAAGGAUUUUUGUAUCUAUGUUUAUCAGGGAUAUUUGUAACCCGCACGGACCUUGGGGACUGAACAAAGAGGGCAAACGCUGGAAUGAAAAAGACAAAAAUAAUGCCACUGAGGAAGAGGCAGGCUAAAGCCUGCUCCAUGCCAAGCAAUCUG
rnacentral:lncRNA from 1 species